rnacentral:lncRNA from 1 species
AUGCCGGCUGUUAUCAUUAUUAUUAUCCUCUUUUUAGAUGAGAAAACCAGGGAGGUUGUCAUAUGUCAGCGUCACGUGCGGCUAGAUCGUAGCAGUGUUAGGAUUCUAACUAAGGCCUCCCUAGUCCUAUCUGAGGGGCUGCAGGCUGGGGCCAAGUCAGAUAUUCUCUCCUUCCCCGGCUCCCUCCUCCUCUCCAGGGUCACAGGCUUCUCUUUUUUCUUGCCCAAGGAAAGGAAACUUCGUGGCUCCCUAGUGACAGCCAACAUCCCACAAUGCUCUUGGGAAUGUGUGCACACGCCCACCUGCCGGGCCUGGAGGAAUUCAGGCUUUAGAUUUGAAAGCAGGGAGCCAGUGAGAGCCCUCCAGGGACCUCCCCGUCCCAGCCUGCGCCCUGUCCUCUUCCCUGCUCCAGCUCCUAGAAAAGCCUUUUGGGUGAUGGAAGUCAGCUCCCUUCCCAGCACUCCGCACCCUACUGUCCACGGGAGACAGUGUGUUGCCCUCCAGUGGCAAUAGCUGGCAGCAACCUAGGGAGGAAAGAGAGUCCAGGCUCCUUGGAGUGUCUCAGGUCAGUCCAUCUGGGGGUGGGAGGUGGGGAGGGAGAGUGCCACACCUUUGUCUACUCACCUUUGUCAACUCACCACUUGCAGGCUGGGUUGCGGACUACCUUUCCCAGCAGCCUAGUUAGCUCUUAUCCUGUUACUCUGGCCCUGUGCUAUCAAGUUCACCUCUCACUUCUUUCCCCAAAGUAUCAAUGAAUUACUAAACGGCAAUAAACAUGAUCAACACUCCUGUGUGCCAGGCAAAGGGAUUUACAAGCAUUGGCCCACUCAGUCCACACAGCAAUCCCAAGAGGCAGGAGCAGUUGUCAACACCAUUUUACAGAUGAGGAAACAGUUGCAGUGAAAUUAGGGAACCUCCUGGCUCACCCAGCCAGGAGGCGUUGAGCUAGGAUUCUGACUCUACAGCCCGACUCUUCCCCAGGAGAUAUUUGGCCUAGGGUUAUUAGUGGAAGGCUGCAAGGAGGUGAGAAGGUGGGGUUAGGGAUUGGAGAGGAGUGUGGCAUGCAAGGGUGCAAGGGGAGUGGUAGGGGGUGCAGGAGUGUCAGGAGCAGAAGGAUAAAGUGAUGAGACAUAAGUGUGAGGAAGUGUGAAGAGGUGAGGAUGUGGUGAGGAGGUGUCAGGCAUGUGAUGGGUGAAAGGAAAUGGUG